CAGCUUUUCCAAGACUGGAAGAUAUGCAGUGUGUAAGUCUGGGUCGAACUGUGGAGUCCUGGGGAACAUUCUGAACUUGGUUGUUGUUUUGCAGAUGUUUUAUUACCCAACUACCCUCUUUCUCUGAAAAUAAGACCUACCCCCAAAAUAAGCCCUAGCACGCUUUUUAUGCCUGUGCCUAAUAUAACCCUUACCCACAAAAUAAGCCCUGCUUAAGAGCCUGCGCGGCUGGCUGGCCACGCAUUCCAUCUGGUUGCUCGCGGUGCCAUGGCCACGAGGUGAGGCAGGGUAGUGAUGGAGCUGCCCUAUGCACCCAGCACCGGUUUACCUCAGAUACAUACACACCCCGCAGCCAGGCCACCCAUGCCCUGACAUCUGCCUCAUGCCAGCAGCACCAGUACUCAUGCGCAGCAAGACAUGGUGUGCUUGUUCCCCCAGCCAUGAGGCGAGGCAGGUGUCAGGGCACGGGUAGCCUGGCUGCAGGGGCCCUGAAGUAAACCUUGCAGGGCACAUGGGGCCGGUCCACCCUCUGCUUCACGGUGACGGCACUGGCAUACCACACUGCCUCCUGCCCCACUGCGAACGAGCAGAAGAAGUGGGCCUCCUGUACAUGGGGAAAAAAUAAGACCCCUCCCAAAAUAAGCCCUAGUGCUUAUUUUGCAGCCCAAAAUAAAAUAAGACCCAGUCUUAAUUUUGGGGAAACAUGGGUAAGUAACAUCACAAGGGCACUGAUGUAUGUAAGCAAGUCUGCACCCAACCUCAGAGCGCACCAAGGAGUCCCAGAAUGGUGCAAAAAGAAGAGCAACCUACUUGA